CUAUUUAUAGCACAUAGGAACCCUUCACUUGGCAGCACAUGCACAUUUUCGGCCAACCGCCUUCUCCCAUUAAGCUAUCCCACGUUCCUAACGUGUGGCUGACAACCCCAGCCACUUAGGAUCCACUACUCAUGAAAUGGGGCAUUAUACAAGCAUUACAAGAUAAUGGGGGAACAUAGGAGAUCAUGGCCUACAAACAAGGAACUCCUGCCAACCCCUUCCAUGUGCUUCUCAUGUGCAAUUCGAACCAGCUGCAUUCCGCCCUAAGGAUGCUCAAGCCAUGCCUUAGUCAAUUUAACAUUGUCCCAUACCAAUGCCGGCGCAAUCCGCUGCCAUCAUAUUUCCCGCACACUGCCCGGCGCCCAUACACCGUGCN
rnacentral:lncRNA from 1 species